UACGAAGGGUGCAAGCGUUAUCCGGAUUUAUUGGGUUUAAAGGGUGCGUAGGCGGGGUGGUAAGUCAGUGGUGAAAUCCUGCGGCUCAACCGUAGAAUUGCCAUUGAUACUGCCAUCCUUGAGUACGCUGGACGUGAGCGGAAUGUGUCGUGUAGCGGUGAAAUGCUUAGAUAUGACACAGAACACCGAUAGCGAAGGCAGCUCACGACGGCGAAACUGACGCUGAGGCACGAAAGCGUGGGGAUCAAACAGG
rnacentral:rRNA from 1 species